rnacentral:lncRNA from 1 species
CUUGGACCCCAGGGAGCCUUUUGGGAGGAAGGGUGAUUGUGUGUGACCAUGUGGGAGGAUCAGCACCACUAGGAAGCUCAGAGCAAUUAUUGAGGCAAAAAAAAAAAAAAAAGUCACUGUUCUGCUCCAGAGUGCAUGUUUGAGAAGGACUGGAUAUACAGUGCCUUUGCUCUUGCUGCUGUAGAUGUAGGUGAAUGUGGAUAUGGACACUGGAGUCAUAAAAGUUGAAGUCUGAACACAGGGAC